CCGAGUUUACAACUCCCAACCCUAUGUGAACCUUACCAUUCUGUUGCUUCGGCGGGAUCGUCCCGGGUGCGGUCGAAAGGCCAGCCCCGGAUCAAGGCGCCCGCCGGGGACCUAAACUCUUCUGAUUUUUUAUCGGUUUUCUUCUGAGUGGCUUAUUAAAGCAAAAAUGAAUCA
rnacentral:misc_RNA from 1 species